ensembl:snRNA U6 U6 spliceosomal RNA
AUGCUCUCUUUGGCAGCACAGAUGCUAAAAUUGGAACAAUGCAGAAAAGAUUAACAUGGCCCGUUGCAAGGAUUACAGGCAGAUUCAUGAAGCAUUCCAUUUUUUA